rnacentral:rRNA from 1 species
CGCUGGCGGCAUGCCUUACACAUGCAAGUCGAACGGCAGCGCGGGGGCAACCCUGGCGGCGAGUGGCGAACGGGUGAGUAACAUAUCGGAACGUGCCCUGGAGUGGGGGAUAACUAGUCGAAAGACUGGCUAAUACCGCAUACGAUCUAUGGAUGAAAGCGGGGGAUCGCAAGACCUCGUGCUCGUGGAGCGGCCGAUAUCUGAUUAGCUAGUUGGCGGGGUAAAGGCCCACCAAGGCGACGAUCAGUAGCUGGUCUGAGAGGACGACCAGCCACACUGGGACUGAGACACGGCCCAGACUCCUACGGGAGGCAGCAGUGGGGAAUUUUGGACAAUGGGGGCAACCCUGAUCCAGCAAUGCCGCGUGUGUGAAGAAGGCCUUCGGGUUGUAAAGCACUUUUGUCCGGAAAGAAAUCGCUCUGGCUAAUAUCCAGAGUGGAUGACGGUACUGGAAGAAUAAGCACCGGCU